GUCGUAACAAGGUUUCCGUAGGUGAACCUGCGGAAGGAUCAUUAAA
rnacentral:rRNA from 1 species